rnacentral:misc_RNA from 1 species
AAGUCGUAACAAGGUUUCCGUAGGUGAACCUGCGGAAGGAUCAUUACUGAAGUGAGUCUUCAUUCAUUGAAGCUUCUUCCCAUUGUGCUGGCUUUGACCGUAUGUUAUGUUGGGGAUUAAACAUGGUUAAGGAAAGAUUUAUUUUUUUCUUGGCCGUCCCCAACAAUUAUCUUAUCCUUUAUUAAAAUUGAACUGAACUCAUUUUGAGAUUACAUAAAAAAAUAAUCUUAUAAUACAACUUUCAACAACGGAUCUCUUGGUUCUC